CGGAGAUCACCUGUCAAGUCCUUAAUUCCAUACGCUCCAGGGUCUGAAUUUCAGAGAAGCAAAAUUCAGGAGCCUCUUAGUAAGUCAGGUUCGGAACUUUUGAAAGCAGGGAGUAUGGCUGUGAAAUAAAUUGUCCUGAGACCAAUUCUGAAAUUUAAUAAUGGAGAAAAUAAAGAAAACUAAUGGCAAAAUCUUGAGGAAAAAAUAUUUUUAUUGAGAUGCAAAGGGAAAUUAUACAGCAAAGGAAAUAUGGAUGACCUGAACUAGGAGGAAGGAAAAGCAGCAAAAGAAAUUCAAGAUGUUUUGCCAAAGCUGCCAAUGAAAUGAAGAUGGAGAGGAAGCAGAGCAACACCCCACAUUCUCUGUUUAAAAAAAGCACUUGUUGAUUGAGCUUGGAUUUGCUGCAGGGUUUGUCUACCCAGAUGAGUGGUCAUAUUGAACAGAAGAGGCAACUUCAGUAACUGAUCUGUGACUCAUCACUCAGAAGAAAAUAGAAUCCCAUAUGCAGGUUUCUCUGAGUGAUGUAGCUGCAAGGUGUGGUGGAAGUGCAGAGUUAAAAAAGAAACCACGGAGGUGUCUUCACAGAUGUUUUCUCACAUUUAAUUAAUACAGAAGUCAAAGUACUGUG
ensembl:lncRNA